rnacentral:lncRNA from 1 species
GCGUUUCACUUUCUUCCGUCUUGAAGAAUCAAACGUGCUUCUGCCAGCAAAGUUAAGAAAAAGAAACGGUGGCUGAGUUGCACAAGUGAACCAGGACAACACAAAAUCCUCUUUGGUCAAAAAGCUGUGAAAUGUGCUAACAUACAUUUACUGGGUGUACGAAGAUGACUAAGGAGAAAUGCAGUGUACACUAGGUGACUCAAAGCAAGAGCGAGCAGAUGGCCACGUCGUUAGCUGGUGGCCACAGCCUUCCCAGAUGAGUUUUGGAAUUUCCACCAAAGUUGGGAUUAGGCUCAGGAUAUGCCGGUGGCACAGAGCACCCCAGGGGAGCGUGGAAGAAGAGGAAACCAUUCCUAGCGACUCAUCUCGUGGUUGGUGGGCAAGUUUUCAGCUGGUGAUUUAUCAACAAAGUAUUUUACAGGAUCAUAGUUAA